AAUCAUCAAUCUAACAUUGCUUUUGUGAUGUGUGAUUGGAUUUGGAGACUGCUGGUCUAACGACUGGCUUCUCUUGAAUGCAUUAGUAGAAUUGAGUUACGGCGCUACGUGUAGUGUGAUAAUAUCUUCACUGCAUAGUUGUAAUGAAGUUUUGCUUCUAACAGUCCUUCGUUGGACAAUACUUGACC
rnacentral:misc_RNA from 1 species